CUUGCAAGCUAUCAUUAGAAACUGUGUGGGCACAAAAGAUAGAGAAAGAUGAUACCAAAGAGGCUGCAAAGAAUGCUCGCUACGCACGAGCAUUUGAAUUGCAAGAGAAGCAGCUUGCAUUGCAAGAGAGAGAGGAUGCACGAAAAGAGCGGGAGGAUGCACGGCAAGAGAGGGAGGCAGCAAGGAUACAAUUUGAAGCUGAAGAAAAAAUUAUGUUGAUGGACACUAGUGGUAUGACCAUUGCACAAAAGCAAUUCUACAAGAACAAGCAGGAUGAGAUCACUGCUCGCCUCCACCAAACAUCCGGUUGACCUUCAUUAUUUGUUACAAACUCGUACUACAUCACUCAUGUCCAAACUUUUGCCAGAGGUGCUCAACUAGAUCAUUUUGAAGCUGAGAAUGAUCAUCUUUAUUUCUAAUCUGUUGAUGCAUCUGAAUGAAAGCACUCAACUCUUCUGCAUGUGUCCUCGAACAAUGGCAAAACGAGAUUGCAGAACUCCAAAGGCUCGUUCCACAUCCUUUCUAACCGCCUCUUGCCUUUGAGAAAAAUGUUUCUUCUUUCUGGUUGGGGGAGAUGGUAUGGUCUUCACAAAUGUUGCCCAUUUUGGAUAUAUGCCAUCUGCAAGGUAAUACCCCAUUGUAUA